UGGUGCCCGCUGCAAGGCUGCAGGCACCUGCUGGCGUGCGGGACCUACCAGCUGCGGCGGCCGGAGGACCGGCCUGCCGGCCCCCAGAACAAGGGUGGAAUGGAAGUUAAGGAGCCUCAGAUAUACAACCACUUCCUGUUGUGUCACACUUGCCUGCAGUAACAUGCUGUAAGGUUUGUGGCAUAGGAGCAGUGGGCCAUACCAUAUAAUCAAGGUGUCACAUCCCGGUGGCUGGACAUGCCCUCUUGGGCUUGGCAGAUGCCAGUGGAUCCAUACAACUGCUCCGCCUGGUGGAAUCUGAGAAGAGCCACGUGCUGGAGCCAUUGUCCAGCCUUGCCCUGGAGGAGCAGUGUCUGGCUUUGUCCCUAGAUUGGUCCACUGGGAAAACUGGAAG
rnacentral:lncRNA from 10 species